CACUACAGCCAAACCACCCAGGACGUGCCCAAACUCAGCUGAUCGCAGAAGCUAAGCAGGGUCCAAGCCUGGUCAGUACUUGGAUGGGAGACUGCCUGGGAAUACUGGGUGUUGUAGGCU
ensembl:rRNA 5S_rRNA 5S ribosomal RNA